rnacentral:tRNA from 1 species
GGGCCCGUAGCCUAGCCUGGAUAGGGCGCCGGCCUGCGGAGAAUAGUAGGGUUCGUGGCCAGCCGGAGGCCCCGGGUUCAAAUCCCGGCGGGCCCG